rnacentral:rRNA from 1 species
AUAUUGGACAAUGGAGGCAACUCUGAUCCAGCCAUGCCGCGUGAAGGAAUAAGGCCCUAUGGGUUGUAAACUUCUUUUAGACGGGACAAAACCCCUUUACGUGUAAAGGGUUGAUGGUACUGUCAGAAUAAGCAUCGGCUAACUUCGUGCCAGCAGCCGCGGUAAUACGAAGGAUGCAAGCGUUAUCCGGAAUUAUUGGGUUUAAAGGGUGCGUAGGCGGACUAAUAAGUCAGUGGUGAAAGCCUGCAGCUUAACUGCAGAAUUGCCAUUGAUACUGUUAGUCUUGAGUACAGUUGAGGUAGGCGGAAUGUGUCAUGUAGCGGUGAAAUGCUUAGAUAUGACACAGAACACCGAUUGCGAAGGCAGCUUGCUAAGCUGUAGCUGACGCUGAGGCACGAAAGCGUGGGGAGCAAAC